rnacentral:lncRNA from 1 species
AGGCUUGCUUGAAGGUGGGUGGCGGCAGGUCGGCCCCGGUGCAGCACUUCGAAGCUUUGAGGGGGAAGGUAGGAAAACAACGUGAAUUGAAGAUGAGUAGUGUGUUUUCUGAACCACAAAAGUGUGGCGACAAGAGUUGUGCCAGCAGUGACAAGGAGGAGUUUGGCACGAUGGGUAGCAAUUCCAAUGUCCUCAUCAGUGGGAGAGCAAAGCCUCAAACCGUGCGAUGAGCAGAGAGCAGAAGGGUGCAACAGAAGGCCCCGCUCUCUAGCAGCCUUUGUCUUCACAGGGCGGGGGCUCGGCCGUGAUUGACAUGGAGAACAUGGAUGACACGUCAGGCUCCAGCUUCGAGGACAUGGGGGAGCUGCAUCAGCGCCUGCGUGAGGAAGAAGUGGAUGCCGACGCAGCUGCUGCAGAAGAGGAGGAUGGCGAGUUUCUGGGCAUGAAAGGCUUUAAGGGACAGCUGAGCCGACAGGUGGCUGAUCAGAUGUGGCAGGCAGGGAAGAGACAAGCUUCCAGAGCCUUCAGCUUGUAUGCCAACAUCGACAUCCUGAGACCCUACUUUGAUGUGGAGCCUGCUCAGGUCCGAAGCAGGUGAGGAGUCUUCUCAGAAGAGUCUGUCCUCACAUCUAGUCCCUCAUCCAGACUGCAGUCAGAUACUGAGCCCUGAGCUCUGGUGGUGAAAGUGUGUGCAUGCUGCCCAUCUUACCAGACACCGCGCUCGGACAGCACUUGCUGUGUCCUCAUUCCUCCCCAGCUGGGACUCCUAGACAACUCUGCUGGCUUCUACCAUGUGGCUACAUAGAUUUUUAUUCCUGGUCGGUCUCUCCCGAGACCAAGAGCUUCUCAAAAGCAGACUCUGCUGUCUUUAUCCUUUC